rnacentral:lncRNA from 1 species
CAAAAUCUUAACCUAAGUUACAUAAUGUUGCUUAAAGAUAUUGCAUUAUUAUCUCAUACAUGUAAUAUCAAAUUCAACAAAUCAAUUAUAUCCUUGUUUAAGAGAGGGAAGAAAGAUACCAGAGGGACGGUCAAACUCAUAGUUCGAACAUAAACUGACCGCGUCAUGACUGAAAAAGAAAAAAAGACACCAAAAGUACACAACCACAACAUAGAUAAAUAAAAUCUAAGCAAUACGCGAACCCACACAAAAUUUGACAUAUAAGCAGAUACUGAUACACAUGUGGUACCGUCAUGUUGCUCAUGUUAUUACAAACC